GCGCCUGUAUUGAGCGCGGAUCUUCAGAAGUGGUGCCCUUUUCAGGAGGUGGUGGACACCCAGGAGGUAGAACCUGGAUGGAUUCACAAGAGUUAGAUGAUGCCAGGUGUUUUUUAGAAAACCCCAUCCGACUUCUCUACAGAUCAAGAAGAAUAGCUGAGACACUGACCGAGAAUAUGAGGGUUUGACUAUGAAUGCCGUCUUGGGAAUUGUCAGAGCUCAGAGAUAGCCACAGAUUGGGGACUGUACCUCGUUAGGAAGCUUGAAGAGCCAUCCAAAAUACUAUGGAAGGAAGAGGGCAGUCAAGUGGAUGGAGGCAGAUAGAAGGGGAGCAAUUUCUGGACUGACAUUUGGAUCAUGGAUUCAAGCCUUAGACAAAAAGAAGACAGGGCCCUUAUCCAGCUGGAGGACAUGGGGACAGAAAAGGUAGGUACCAAUCACUGAGAUGUGACUGACAUCCAGAAUACAAAUGGUCUUCUUCAGUUUACCCUCAGAUCAAGCUGAAUCCCCACAUCAUAGGGAUCCUUGAUGGAGGUGAGAGAUGGCCAAGUGGGAAGAAAGUGGAACCAAUAAGAAUGCCUUCACUACACAGCAUCAAUGGCCUUGGAAUUGACAGCUUCAGUUGCCAAGCAUGGAUGAGAUACUGACUUCGAGGAGCAAGCUUCUUGGAUAGACAGGGAGGAUGCAGAUGGAAGAAAAGCUAGCAGACCAUCAGUAUCCCCGUUUCCCUCUACCUGGACUGUCAUGAUAUGAGCUUCUCUGCUCUGCCGCACACUGCCCGCCGUGAGGGACCGAACCUACUGAAGCCAUGA